CUUUUCUCGCUUGGGCGCCUCCUUCUUUCUCCCGCCGUCCACUCUCCUCUGGUUCUCCUUCGCUUACAGUCGCGAACGACUGACGCCGAUUCUCCGACUGAAGUCAGUUCUUCUUCAAUCGCAGUCGUCACUCUCACCGGCGAGCACACGGCAGCAACAGAUUAAUUACGUCUCUCAUCUCCAGCAACGGAUUGGCUAGAUCUCUCCGUCUCCAGCGUGACCUGAGGUUUAAUCUCUCUAUCUCUGGCUCUCUCUAUUUCUAUCCAACCACCGCCUCCUUCAUUUUACGGCCGCCGGCGAAUCUGUUUCGAUCCCAAGUUUUCCCCCAAAAUCCCAAACCGGUAUAAACCAAACCGAAACAGAUUGCGGUUCAAAAACUAAUUUCUCUUUUUCCUGAUAUCGGUUCCGUUUUCGGCUUAAGAAAACCGAAUCGAUAGUCGUUAUAUUCGAUCGAAUCGGUUUAGUGGCUGCAUUUGUUGCCCUAAUGGUGGGAAACUGGGGCCUGAGUGAAUAACGGUUUCCUUCAAGGUUUCUGUUCCAAUCCUCGCUUCCUGAAUUGCUAAUAGCUUCAUGUUGAUGAAUUGAUUUUAACACCUGAUACGUGCAGGCUGGUCAGAGCUGAGGUGCCACAGUGUCUAAGAUGGAGAGUGAUGCGGAUGCUGUGAAAAAAACGCAGCUGGUGGAAGCCCGAGCAAGAAAUAUUAGUCACAAUGUUAGGUGCAUUGAGUGCGGUAGUCAAUCCAUUGAAGAUUCACAAGCAGAUAUUGCGAUUCUACUCAGAAAGUUGAUCCGUGACGAGAUUCGGUCGGGGAAAUCGGACAAGGAGAUCUUUAAAAAGCUCGAGAAUGAUUACGGGGAGACAAUCCUUUAUACCCCAAAGUUCGACCUCCAAACUGCAGCAUUAUGGCUAUCACCGGUGUUAGUGGCUGGUGCUGCUGCAGGAGUAUGGGCUUAUAGUAAGUACAAGCAAAAGUCUAACGUUCAUAUCAUGGCUUUGAAUAUAGUCAGGGGCGUUCCAUUGACCCCUAGAGAGAAGCAAACCAUGUUAGAUCUCCUCUCACCUCCACCACCUCAGAGAGCCGCUUCUUUAUGGUGGAGGAGAUGGCGUAGCCAGUGAGGUAAAUACUCUCCAUUGCUAGCUCGAACAACAGUCCUAAGAAUUUCAGAGUAUGACACGAAAUUUUGGCUCAAAGACAAGCAACACAAAAUGAAGCAAUGAAAUCUCCUCAUCCAAGACAAACCGUGUUUUAAUCAUCACCUGAAAACAUGUCCCAAGUUUUCUCAACUUUCAAUUAUGUGCUUGGUCCUGUUUUUUUUUUUUUUUGUUCUUUUCCUUUUCUUUUCUAGUUAAGUUCGUAGAUUCUUGUUAUUUUUACAAAUGUAUGUUUCUUUUUCCCCCUCCAAAUAUUUGAUAAUUGCCAUAGUGCCCUUGUUUUCUAUCUUACAAAUGUAUUUGAAUGCAAUUUUUAAUUUAAAGUA